ACUCCUGCGGGAGGCAGCAGUGAGGAAUAUUGGACAAUGGGUGGAAGCCUGAUCCAGCCAUCCCGCGUGCAGGAAGACGGCCCUAUGGGUUGUAAACUGCUUUUAUCUGGGGAUAAACCUACUUACGUGUAAGUAGCUGAAGGUACCAGAAGAAUAAGCACCGGCUACCUCCGUGCCAGCAGCCGCGGUAAUACGGAGGGUGCAAGCGUUAUCCGGAUUUAUUGGGUUUAAAGGGUCCGUAGGCGGACUGAUAAGUCAGUGGUGAAAUCCGACAGCUUAACUGUCGAACUGCCAUUGAUACUGUUAGUCUUGAGUAAGGUUGAAGUGGCUGGAAUAAGUAGUGUAGCGGUGAAAUGCAUAGAUAUUACUUAGAACACCAAUUGCGAAGGCAGGUCACUAAGUCUUAACUGACGCUGAUGGACGAAAGCGUGGGGAGCGAACAGGAUUAGAAACCCCUGUAGUCCC
rnacentral:rRNA from 1 species